UUUGUUUUUGGUUUUUGUUUGCUUCCUUAAAUAAAAAAAAUUACAUGUUUUUUCCUUUGGUUUUUAAGUUAUAAUUAUGAGUGUUUUUCUUAGUUCUCUUGACAAAAGUCUUGUGGUAUGAUGUGAAAAAUUUAUUGUGUAUUUUUAGUAUGAUAGGUAGAACUGAACUCUAAAUUGUACAUCUUUAGGAGUGGGUCAUUAACCCUUGUGAGCUUUGAGCCUUAUAUGGAUAACAUACAAAAAUUCAUCUCUUUAUUUCUUAUGUGAUUCACUCAUAUAUUAGUCUCUAGAACUUGAAUUGGUUCUUGUUGAUGUUGUUGUUUACUUGUGCAUAUUGAUAUGAUAAAAACAAUUUUGUUUUUUUGUUUUUUAGCCGGUUAGCCAAAAAGUCAACCUUGAAAUAAUAUCAUCCCUUGUUUGAAACCCCCUUGAACCUAUUAUCCCUUUUUUGUUUAAAACUCAUUACAAAUUGAGAAGUGAAAAAUAAUGUUAUCACUCUAUUCAAAGGGUUGAAAGAGUCUUGUUUGAAGUUGUGUGGGGUUGAAUAAUUAUGUUUGUAAUAUUUCAGAAGUUGGCAGAAAAAGAAAAAAAAUAGAAAAAGAAAAUAGAAAAGAAAAAAAAUGAAUGAAUGAAAAAAAUAGAAGGAUAUCAAUCAAUACAUAUUC
rnacentral:lncRNA from 1 species